rnacentral:rRNA from 1 species
CGGGUGAGUAACACGUAUCCAACCUGCCUCAUACUCGGGGAUAGCCUUUCGAAAGAAAGAUUAAUAUCCGAUAGCAUAUAUUUCUCGCAUGGGUUUUAUAUUAAAGAAAUUCGGUAUGAGAUGGGGAUGCGUUCCAUUAGUUUGUUGGCGGGGUAACGGCCCACCAAGACUACGAUGGAUAGGGGUUCUGAGAGGAAGGUCCCCCACAUUGGAACUGAGACACGGUCCAAACUCCUACGGGAGGCAGCAGUGAGGAAUAUUGGUCAAUGGACGCGAGUCUGAACCAGCCAAGUAGCGUGAAGGAUGACUGCCCUAUGGGUUGUAAACUUCUUUUAUAUGGGAAUAAAGUGGUCCACGUGUGGAUUUUUGUAUGUACCAUAUGAAUAAGGAUCGGCUAACUCCGUGCCAGCAGCCGCGGUAAUACGGAGGAUCCGAGCGUUAUCCGGAUUUAUUGGGUUUAAAGGGAGCGUAGGCGGAUUGU